rnacentral:lncRNA from 1 species
CUUGAAUCAAGAAAAUUCCACAACUCAAAUCGACAAAUCCAACAACGUCUUCAAAUUAGGGUUUUCAGAGAGAUAAAACGAAGAGAUGAGAGAUAUGAAUACAGUGGAGGGAGAAAAGCUCUACAUUAGUUUCCUUGGAAUUCUAGGGCUUCAGGUUAGGGAUUUUACAGCAGCAAUGGGGAGAAAUGAUCGAUGGGGAAGAAG